rnacentral:misc_RNA from 1 species
AACUGAUACUACCUGCGGGAACCUGCGGAAGGAUCAUUACCGAGUUUACAACUCCCAAACCCCUGUGAACUUAUACCUUUACUGUUGCUUCGGCGGGUCAUUGCCCCGGGGAAACAGGUGCCGCCAGGUCCCUGCCCCCCCGGAAACAGGCGCCCGCCGGGGGACUCAAACUCUUCUGUAUUUUUUGUUUACUGUAUACUGUCUGAGUAAAAAUUCAUAAUGAAUCAAAACUUUCAACAA